UGUUAAAACACAAGUUUUCGUACGAUCGCCGAAGUUAAGCAACGUCGAGUCUGGUCAGUACGAGAUGGGUGACUGCUUGGGAAUGCCAGGUGAAGU